CAGCAGGCGCGAAAACUUUACAAUGCGGGAAACCGUGAUAAGGGGACACCGAGUGCCAGCAUCAUAUGCUGGCUGUCCAGGUGUGUAAAAUACACCUGUUAGCAAGGGCCGGGCAAGACCGGUGCCAGCCGCCGCGGUAACACCGGCGGCCCGAGUGGUGAUCGUGAUUAUUGGGUCUAAAGGGUCCGUAGCCGGUUUGGUCAGUCCUCCGGGAAAUCUGACGGCUCAACCGUUAGGCUUUCGGGGGAUACUGCCAGGCUUGGAACCGGGAGAGGUAAGAGGUACUACAGGGGUAGGAGUGAAAUCUUGUAAUCCCUGUGAGACCACCUGUGGCGAAGGCGUCUUACCAGAACGGGUUCGACGGUGAGGGACGAAAGCUGGGGGCACGAACCGGAUUAGAUACCCGGGUAGUCCCAGCCGUAAACGAUGCUCGCUAGGUGUCAGGCAUGGCGCGACCGUGUCUGGUGCCGCAGGGAAGCCGUGAAGCGAGCCACCUGGGAAGUACGGCCGCAAGGCUGAAACUUAAAGGAAUUGGCGGGGG
rnacentral:rRNA from 1 species